UCCCGCCCUUCCUCAAUUUCAGCGUCCCAUUCAUACAUGACCCCAUUUUUGUCCUUUCACAUCCUCCUGGAUAAUCCAAAUCAAUUUGGGUCAUACCCGACUUGAUUGGAGUCAUAUUUGUUGCUCAUCCAGGAUAACCCGUUUCUAUCUGGGUUUCUAAACUGAUUUCUCUCCACCAUCUACAAUGUCAGUUAUAUAUCUCUUCCUAUAAUCUAGCAUGAAUCGUGUUUCUACUCCGCCAUUACGGAUAACAGUUUAUUUUUUAAAAUUUUGAAUCAUGUCACAGUAUUUUAUCUUCCAUUUCAAGAUCACUUUUAAUCUUUCUUGCUUAAUGGAUCAGACAUGUUUCAUCGGACGGCAAGACGAAUGCAUUUUCUCCUUUAUCCACUAUCUCCCUCUUCUCAGAUUAAUAAGUAAAUGUCGAAGCUCGGUUUAGUGCUCCCAUUCUGUCCAACAAACUCAACACUCGGCAGCAACUACCCAAAAAAAAUAUUCAUCCCGACAUUGAGCAAUGAGCUAAAAAUAAUGUUGGUGCUGAAUAUCAUACCGGGACUUUCUUGGUUUCAGAAAGUGGUGCUCAUAUGUGUGUGUUGUAUAUGUUGUUCUAAUCAUUGUUCUUUACAAAUGUUGUAGAUACAAAACUCUAACACAUCCCGGGCAAUUCGAUUAAACACCAUACUGUAUUACUUGAUCAGUUGUUGAUCUCUUUUACACAUAGCAAUUGAUUUGUCGAUCAAAAAGGUAAUUAUAUGACUCAGUUGCCAUGUUUUGUAGGUCUGAAAAGAACUCCACUUGAUCCUGUUUCUCUGUCUUCCUACAAACAUGGCAGCUGAUCAUAAAGUCAAACCCACGCAAAGUCAUCAAGCCUGAGUCUAGACGAUAAAUGAUGAGGGAAUGCCACAUCACUAGAGGCCUUUUAUCAAGGGAAGGCUCUUCAUCCAUUUUAAUGUGGAAUUUCCAAAGUCUGGAUUCCUCUCACCUGAGAAGUGCAAAAGUUUGGAGACCGUUUUGCCUGUAGCCGCAUCAAGCACUCUUCUGAUAUUGAUAUGUAAGAUUGCAAAGAAACUACCAUGCAUGAUGUUAAUAUGAAAGAAGAGUUGAGGCUCAAGGAACAUCAAAGAAAGCAAGAAGCUUAUGAUGAAGAUGAGGCAGGAGGUAUGCCAAGGGCAUCUGGCAUGUAACCAGCACUAUGCCAAUGCAACUGUCUUGGUCAUAAGAAUGACCAGAUUUUGCAUAAAAAGGUUGUAGGUAUCUCAGAUCUGCAAUUUUAUAUUGUUGUUAUGAA